rnacentral:rRNA from 1 species
GAUGAACGCUGGCGGCGUGCCUAAUACAUGCAAGUCGAGCGAACGGACGAGAAUCUUUCUUCUCUUAUGUUAGCGGCGGACGGGUGAUUAACACGUGGAUAACCUACCUAUAAGACUGGGAUAACUUCGGGAAACCGGAUCUAAUACCGGAUGAUAUUUUGAACCGCAUGGUUCAAAAGUGAAAGACGGUCUUGCUGUCACUUAUAGAUGGAUCCUCGCUGCAUUAGCUAGUUGGUAAGGUAACGGCUUACCAAGGCAACGAUGCAUAGCCGACCUGAGAGGGUGAUCGGCCACACUGGAACUGAGACACGGUCCAGACUCCUACGGGAGGCAGCAGUAGGGAAUCUUCGGCAAUGGGCGAAAGCCUGACGGAGCAACGCCGAGUGAGUGAUGAAGGUCUUCGGAUCGUAAAACUCUGUUAUUAGGGAAGAACAUAUGUGUAAGUAACUGUGCACAUCUUGACGGUACCUAAUCAGAAAGCCACGGCUAACUACGUG